GUGAGAAACAGCUUUCUGUCAUCAAAUAAAUGUGUCCAGCACUAUUUUGGUGACUUAGAAGUAUUCGAUUGUGGAAUAUACUCUCAUUUAUUCAAGUAAUUUUCUGACUGCAUGACUGUUUUAUUUUACCUAGCUCUAUGAGAUGGCCACAGUGCUUUGAAUGUUUGUCCCUCAAAACUCAUGUUGAACCUUAAUCUCCAGUGUAACAGUAUUAAAAGGUAGGACCUUUAAGAGAUGAUUGGAUCAUGAAGGCUUUGCUGUCAUGAAUGGGUUAAUCCAUUCACGGAUUAGUGAAUUAGUGGGUGACUGGAUUAAGGGGUUAUCACGGGAGUGGGUCGGUUUAAAAGCCGGUUUGACUUGCUCUUGCCCUCACUGGUGUGUGCUCUGCCGAGUGACGGUGCAGGAGGGCGCCCUCACUGGAUGCCUGUGCCUUCAUGUUAGACUUUCCAGCCUCCAAAAUGGCUUUGAAGAGGGGGAGUGCACCUCCAGCCUCACAACGCAGGCACCUCUGGAAGCUGGAAAAGGCAAGGGAACGAUUCUCCCCUGGGUCUCCAGGAGGAAUGAGGCCCUGCAGGCAGCUCCAUCGUAACCCGCUGAACCUUAUUUUGGACUUCCAACCUUCAAAACUAUGAAUCAACUCAAGCAAGGAGGAGCUAAGAAUCUUUCUAAAAGUUACACAGCUAAAAAGAAGACCGAGUUUCAGUUAGGACCAAGAGGUCUAGGCACAGGGCCCACAGACUGGAACUCAAAGAGACCCUAACAGAACAUAUGGGAAAUACGAGCCAAGAUCAGGCUGUCACCAGGUCAAGGAAAUGAAAAUAUUUUUAUGAAAAAUACAAUCGCUUAGACGAAAAACACAAAGAAAGGCUAAAUAUUAAGUUGGUGUAAAAGUAAUAGUGGUUUUUUUUUUUUUGCAGUUACUCCUAAUUACAAAAACUGCCAUUACUUUUACACCACCCUAAUCGCAAAAUGACUAGCUCACAGCAGGCGGAAGUGAGCUGGGAAAAUCAGGAGAGGAGGUCUCCAAAUAAUUCCGUUGGUGAUAAGCGGAUGGAAACAAAUUUAAAAAGAAAGUUAAGAGGGAUGGAAGAAAGAAGCUGAGGUAUCGAAAGUCCUAAUAUGAGUGACUUAGGUAGAAAAAAAAUCAGACGAUACAUUUUGUUAAAUAAUGACAGAGAGCCUUGCAGUAUUAAAGAAAGUCAGAAGGCCGAGGAUGGAAAAGUGUGCAGUGCCAAGCAGAAGAGACAGGGGAGACCCCAUUUGGCCAUGUCGCGGUGGCUCAUGCCUGUAACCCCAGCACUUUGGGAGGCCGAGGCGGGCGGAUCACAGGUGAGGAGAUAGAGACCAUCCUGGCUAACACGAUGAAACGCCGUCUCUAAUAAAAAUACAAAAAUACAAAAAAUUACCCGUGCGUGGUGGCGGCGCCUGAAGUCCCAGUUGCUCCGGAGGCUGAGUCAGGAAAAUGGCGGGAACCCGGGGGGCGGAGCUUGCAGUGAGCCGAGGUGGCACCACCGCACUCCAGCCUGGGUGGCAGAGCGAGACUCCGCCUCCAAAAAGAAUGUCAGACACAAAGAAAACUGUUUAUUGCGGCACUAUUCACAAUAGCAAAGACUUGGAAUCAACCCAAAUGUCCAUCAGUGACAGACUGGAUUAAGAAAAUGUGGCACAUAUACACCAUGGAAUACUAUGCAGCCAUAAAAAAGGAUGAGUUUGUGUCCUUUGUAGGGACAUGGAGGCAGCUGGAAACCAUCAUUCUCAGCAAACUAUCACAAGAACAGAAAACCAAACACCGCAUGUUCUCACUCAUAGGUGGGAACUGAACAAUGAGAUCACUUGGACUCGGGAAGGGGAACAUCACACACCGGGGCCUAUCAUGGGGAGGGGGAGGGGGGAGGGGUUGCAUUGGGAGUUAUACCUGAUGUAAAUGACGAGUUGAUGGGUGCUGAUGAGUUGAUGGGUGCAGCACAGCAACAUGGCACAAGUAUACAUAUGUAACAAACCUGCACGUUAUGCACAUGUACCCUAGAACUUAAAGUAUAAUAAUAAUAAUUUAAAAAAUGGAAGAAAAAAAAAAAAGAAAAAGAAAACUGUGAGGUGUUCUGGAGGGAUAAACACGGGGCCCGGCGAAGCGAAAACCCCGGCAGCAAAGGGAGGCGGGACCCAAAGCCCUAAGGGAGGGGCGGCCCCGAGAUCUGAGUGCACCACGAGGAUGGCAGAAAGAAAUUCCCUGGUACAAAGGACCACAGAAUGGUGACCACAAGAUUCCUCUUCCAAAAGGUACUUGAGGGACGCGAUUCUAUGAGGAGAUAUAAACUGAGGCGCACACGGGGAUACAUGGAAAGCAAGGUUCAUUUACUAAUAAACAGGCGCGUUUUAUUGUAUUUUCAGUAAGCAGUGACUAAAACCAAAACCACGUCAACAAAACAAAGAGAAGCACAUCUGCAGGAACCGGAACCCAAACUCCAGGUGACAAGGCCCCGACGGAGUGCAGAGCCCGACGGCAGCAGAGGCGGAGGCCUGGCCGACGGAACAUCAGAAUAUGAGACCAUGAGAAGCAG
rnacentral:lncRNA from 1 species